UUGAACGCUGGCGGCAUGCCUUACCCAUGCCAGUCGAACGGCAGCACGGGUGCUUGCACCUGGUGGCGAGUGGCGAACGGGUGAGUAAUACAUCGGAACAUGUCCUGUAGUGGGGAAUAGCCCGGCGAAAGCCGGAUUAAUACCGCAUACGAUCUACGGAUGAAAGCGGGGGACCUUCGGGCCUCGCGCUAUAGGGUUGGCCGAUGGCUGAUUAGCUAGUUGGUGGGGUAAAGGCCUACCAAGGCGACGAUCAGUAGCUGGUCUGAGAGGACGACCAGCCACACUGGGACUGAGACACGGCCCAGACUCCUACGGGAGGCAGCAGUGGGGAAUUUUGGACAAUGGGCGAAAGUCUGAUCCAGCAAUGCCGCGUGUGUGAAGAAGGCCUUCGGGUUGUAAAGCACUUUUGUCCGGAAAGAAAUCCUUGGCCCUAAUACGGUCGGGGGAUGACGGUACCGGAAGAAUAAGCACCGGCUAACUACGUG
rnacentral:rRNA from 1 species